rnacentral:rRNA from 1 species
UACAGAGGUCCCAAGCGUUGUUCGGAUUCACUGGGCGUAAAGCGCACGUAGGCGGCUUUGUAAGUUAGAGGUGAAAGCCCGGAGCUCAACUCCGGAACUGCCUUUAAGACUGCAUCGCUUGAACGUUGGAGAGGUAAGUGGAAUUCCGAGUGUAGAGGUGAAAUUCGUAGAUAUUCGGAAGAACACCAGUGGCGAAGGCGACUUACUGGACAACUGUUGACGCUGAGGUGCGAAAGCGUGGGGAGCAAACAGG